rnacentral:lncRNA from 12 species
UGAAGAAAGAUCUGACUCACGCUGCCAUCUUCACCUCCUAAGAGAAACAAUUCUGUAAGGCUUCAAGCACUCGCCCUACAAACCACAAGCUGUCUCUGAGCACUGCCACCCCAUUUCAUCGCUGGGAUUCUUUCCACAUCCCUCCUCGUGGCUCCCAGCAGCAUCCUCACACCCACACUCGUUGUCUCUUCACUGCUGCUGCUCCAAACCUUGCCUCCCUCCCAUCUCCUGCUGCCAGAGCCUGCCUGGCCUCACACUGCAGCUCUCCAUCCCAUGAGGGUGUUCCAUGGGGUGUCCUCACUACCUCUGACACCUCUGGCUGUGCAAGGCUUGGACCCACAGGUUCCUGUCAGACCUGUCCUGCUCAGGGGGGGAUGAGGAGCUGCUCACACACGUGGACAGAGCAGCACUGGGGGAUGCAGAGCAGGAAUAGUGUGCAAGGUCAUUCCAGGUUCUGCAGGACUGCAGCUUGCACUUACUGCCUGUGGUACUGAGGCACAGAGCUCCCAUGGUCUGGCAAGGAGAGUCACAGCUCUGAACAAGCUCAGGACACUCCAGAAUCCUGCUGCUCUCAUCAUCCACACAGCACAGGCAGCAAUGUGGGCAUCAGGGUGCUGUUCCCAAGCUGCUGGAGCCUGGGCAGUGGGCUCACAGGAGCAGCUCCACUCCAUCCUGCAGCAUUCUCCUGCAGCCACCUGCCUGCACCAGCCUGUCCUCCUGCUCCAAGCCACGUUGGCAUCUGUACCAGGAGAGUAUGGGAAUUGGCAACUGAGUGCUGUUCUGAGGAGCUGAUGACAUUUUCUGGAAGCCAAGGGGUUUAUCAGCUCCUUUAGUUACUGAGUAAGGCACCGCCAGUCCAGUUAGAAUUCAAGUCCCACAUCCUCUCUUAAUGGCUGUCCAACAAAGGGCAGCAGCAUGCCUCAGUGCCCUGGCCCACAGGAAUUAGCCUUUGCUUUACCUGGACAAUGAGGGCUUUUGUUCAUGGGAAGAAGGCACCUGACUGCAGCAGGUGACACUCACUUGGCUCUGAGACUUGGGGAGGUUAAAACUCCCUGACUCUUGGUGAUCUGUAAGGAAUGGUCCCCUCCAAGACAGCCUGCUCCGGUUGAUUGGGCAGUUUGCUGAUGUUGUUCAUCAACAAAUCAUGCUGCUAUCAGUGGUGUUAUCAAGCCCCCUCCAUGCUUGGUGAGUUUCUCUUUGUUGUCAUCCAGGUUGCGAGGUGAUCUCUCAGCUGUGGUCCCCGUGAUGAGCUCCACUGAAGCCCGACUCUGUUUGCUCCCCUGGGAUUUCACAGGUGCAGCCAGUCAUGGAGUUCAGGCACGUGUUCCUCUGACGUGAUAAAAACAACAUCUCUG